GGCCCAUAUUUAACCUGACGAGUCCUUCACGCCCCUGUCUGCACACUUCCAGGCAUCGCCAGUGAAAUGUGAUAUUCUGUUUGAGUGCAGCUAACAAGGAAGCCUGGGAUUUACUAGAACUCCUAGCAGUCAAUGUUUGACCACUCUGCUUUAGAUAUGCCUUUUCCUUAAGCAACAGUUGUAUGUGUUUGAUAUUACAAAUGGCUCGAUUGUGGAUGACAUUGUGGAAUAGUAGUGUGUAAAAGUAGAUUAGAAUGUCAUUAUUGGUUACAUUCUUAUUACUGACUGUUUUUGAACACAUAUUUUGUUAUACUUUGAUUGAUAUGUGUGCCUUUUUAGGUUAGUCAAUUUAUAUAGUCAUUCAUAUUCAGAUUAUAUUCAGGGUUGUCUUAACACUUAACUGUGUGGUGUACUGUUGAGGAGGCUCUAUCAUGACCUUAGACGUUUUAUGAUCAUGAUCAGUUUUUUGUCAAACUGCUGAAGAAUCUAGCAUAAGGUUUUGGUCAAAAUAUUUAAGACAUUUGUAUUUUUUCAGUGUUCUGAAGAUUUGGACUGUUAGGCUUCCUUAAACUUUUUCUUCUUAUCUUCAUGGAAUUGAGUUCUAUUGUCUUUACGCCGCCACCCACUCUGCCUGACUUCAAGAUUAGGGUUUCAUGGAGGUGUGACUAUAUGCUCCUACCAAAAGCUUAAUUUGCCGUAACUGCCGGUGUUCACCACAUUCAGACGUGUGUAUCACAUAUCGCAGAUAGCUGUUCAGUGUCCAUAUCAGGAUCAGUGACACUUCCUCAUGUGCCUGACAUGCACAAACACAGGGCUUAAUUUUCUGUAUAAUCGUUGCCUACCGCCCACUGUUCCUGAAUGUAUUUGAGUCAGUACUAGUCAGUUAUAUGUAUUGUAACAGUUGUGUUUAAAGUUCAGGAAUAUGUCUGUCUUUUUCUUCACAAUUGAUUUUUGAAUAAAACAGGAAAGUUUAAUCAUUCACUACAUUUAUCAGUGUGUCUAUGAACAUAAAAGUCACGUGAUCAAAACCAGCUUAUUAUCUUGUUCGUCUCUCUGAUUGGGGUCUGCAAAUUAAUGCUUUUUUUUGUACUUAGCUCCAGGGGUAGCACCAGACAUUUUUGGUUGGAGGUGCUUUGGGGCUGCUAAGAUCUUAACAUGUUCAUUUAGAGCCUUUGAUGGCUGUUAGAACACUCCCACUCCCUACCUUGUUUGUUUUGUUGUUUUAAAAUUUGAGGUUUAAAUGUGGAUAGUUAGCCCCUGUAGUGAUUUGUAAAACCUUAUAUAGAGUUAUUGUGUUUUAAACUAGUUGUUGUUACAGGCACUUCAAAUUUCUUGUGGCUCACCACAUUCUGUGGUCUGACUUGUGUUGAAGUGUGAAUCACAGCAUGAGAAGAAAACUUGUCUAAUGAGUAAUUACAAACAAUUCCAAUUAGUGAAAGUAAUUUAUUUAUAAACAUGACAUGUAAGUGAAUUCCAUAACUGAUACAUUGAAUACAGUAUUAUAUAUUGCUUACAACUGUGAUUGAUUAUUUUUAAUAUUAGUUCAUAAUUAUUAAAAGAAAAAGUCUGGUAUUUUGGUUAUCUCACACACAGAAUGUGAAAUGUUGUGGUAUCACUCAAUGAUGUUUACUCAAACUGUGGUAUAGUGACAGGUGUAUUAAGUGUCUUGUCCAGUAGGAGUCCUCCUAAUCCUCUGGUCAAUGAGAUCUCAGGGUUAUGGGAAAUUUCAGAGAGCACAAGAGACCAAGAAUCUCUGGAAAAUCUGGAGCUAUUACGGUUCUUUUGUGGGAGAACCAAUCAAAAUAGGUUGCCUUAUCCCUUAUCAAUAUAUAAUGGUUGACUGAAAAUCACAGAUCUUAACAUUUGCUAAUGGAGCUCAAGGCAGAGCAGAGGCACAGGUUGAGUAAAAGAUGAAGGACCGGUUCUAAAGUAUGAGUGGUAUGGGGACAUGAGAGAGCCACACAACAGCAAACAACAGAGAGAAGAGAGCGUUCACAUUUGUUUCUUUACAUUUUAGACAAAUUUUAGAAGGACUUUAAAAAAAAAAAAAAAACGAAAGAAGUAAAGGGAGGGUCCUAACAGUGAUCAUCAUGGGGAAUAAUGGAAGCCGAGUGAACUCCACAGCAGUUGGAGUUGCAGUGGGCUUUGGGAUCCUCUUCAUCCUUUUUACCAUUGGGAUUGUCCAAUUCUGCUGCAAAUACAAAUGCAAAAACUGUAAGAACUGCUGCAAGAAAAAGAAACCACCACUAAAAGACAGAGUGCUCACCAAAAUGGGAGUAAAGAAGUCUCCGUCCCCUUUCUCAAUCAGUAGCUAUAUCAAACAAUAGAAGCAACUGGCUGUGGUGAACAUGAUAUAGAAACUGAAAAGACUGGUCUGUCACCUUCCCACUUAACACAUUUCUUGUUUUGCACAACUUUGUUUCUUUUCAUUGCUGCUGUUUAUUGUAAAUGACAAAAUUAGAUUGUAAUUCUCUUUUUGGAUACAAUUUUCAUGAAAGCAUGGCCCCAAAAUAGAUGGCAAUUUGUAAAUAUUGUAACAAAUAUUGUAACAUUAUUGGAUGUUGGAUAUAUGUAUUUGAACACAAAAAUUUUAUAAAUAUACUACGAUGAUAUAUUAUGUAUCAUGUAUAUUUUUGUUGACUUCCUAUCAUAAAAUAUAGGUAUACACAUCAAACAGGAAACAGCAGUUGCAGAAACAAAAUUAGUGACAUUUUUACAAUUUCCCUUAGUUACAGUAGAUACUGUAUGGUGUUAAGAACAAAAGCAGUAUUACUAGCAGCAAUAGUUGUGUAACCAAUAUGACUAUUAAAGUAUAAGGUGUAUGUUGUGCUUUAAUCAUGCUUAAAUAAUAUAAUUUUGCAUCUGUAAAGUGGAAUCCCCCACAUCAUGGUAUCUACUAAGUUUAGCUUCAUUAUAUCACUUUCCUUUUUAACGGACUGUUCUCAAAACUCCUGCACUAAUGUUAUGAAAAUUGUAAUCAGUGUUGCAUAAAUUCUGACAUAAGAAGUCAGUUAUUUUUAUUAAGAGAUGUUUUUUUUAUGAGGAAGUUGUGCAGUGGAAG